rnacentral:rRNA from 1 species
AGGGUUCGAUCCUGGCUCAGGACGAACGCUGGCGGUGCGCCUUAUGCAUGCAAGUCGAGCGAAGCUUUUCAGUAGUUUACUACAGAAAAUGACUGAGCGGCGAACGGGUGAGUAACGCGUGAGCAAUCUACCUUAGUUACAGGGAUAGCCCGAGGAAACUCGGAUUAAUACCUGAUAUUCUUUAUUUCUCGCAUGAGAAUAAAAGGAAAGGUCAGCCGAACUAAGAUGAGCUCGCGUUCUAUCAGCUAGUUGGUGAGGUAAAAGCUUACCAAGGCUACGACGGAUAGCUGGUCUGAGAGGACGAUCAGCCACACUGGGACCGAGACACGGCCCAGACUCCUACGGGAGGCUGCAGCAGGGAAUAUUGUGCAAUGAACGAAAGUUUGACACAGCGACACCGCGUGUGGGAUGACGGAUCUAGGUUUGUAAACCACUUUCAGGAGGGAAGAAAAUGACGGUACCUCCACAAGAAGCCCCGGCCAACUACGUGCCAGCCGCCGCGGUAAUAC